rnacentral:antisense_RNA from 1 species
AAACAGGCUGAAAUCUUUUCUUCUUGCAUUGCUAUCUUCAGCGUCUUAUAUCAUUCAGUCAGCUAAAUUCCAUCUUUGUGAUAAAUCCCCCACAAAUAUUUUGUGAUCUCUCUGAUCUAAGCAGUGUUAAACCUUUUGAUUCCUUGUAUCCUUCCUCUCCCCUUUCUUAAAAUAGUCUGUAGCGCUCAUGUCAAGGACCUGCUCAGCUUCCCUUUCUCUAAAAUUGCAUAAUCCUACAAGAAUAUUUUCCCUUCUUUUCCUUCAGGAGCAAACAUUCUCAAAAGAUUCUUAAAUGCAAACCCGCAGGCACAGCAUGUGUCUGUCAACUCCAAGAGCAUUUGGAUGUUCGAAGGGAGAGGAUGUUUGACAUCUAACCCGUCGUGGAAAGAGGAACCUCUACAGUGACAUGAAGGCAAUGGAUUCUCAGCAUUACAAGGCAAGACAGAACUUGAAGGAAGAAGGCUGGGAGGAAACCAAGGUUGAAUGAACACUGACUCUGUGCUCAGCCCUGAGCAAGCAGUGGAAAUGCCCCUGGGCUGUGAGCCAGGAAUUCAAAUCC